rnacentral:rRNA from 1 species
GACAGAGGGUGCAAACGUUGCUCGGAAUUACUGGGCGUAAAGCGCGUGUAGGUGGAUUGGUGUGUCAGAUGUGAAAGCCCUGGGCUCAACCCAGGAAUUGCACCUGAAACUACCAGUCUUGAGUGGUGGAGAGGGAAGUGGAAUUCCUGGUGUAGAGGUGAAAUUCGUAGAUAUCAGGAGGAACACCAGUGGCGAAGGCGGCUUCCUGGACACCAACUGACGCUGAGACGCGAAAGCGUGGGGAGCAAAC